rnacentral:rRNA from 1 species
GCUUGUCUCAAAGAUUAAGCCAUGCAUGUGUAAGUAUAAAUAACUCUAUACUAUGAAACUGCGAAUGGCUCAUUAUAUCAGUUAUAGUUUAUUUGAUAAUACUUUACUACUAGGAUAACCGUAGUAAUUCUAGAGCUAAUACAUGCGUAAAAUCCCGACUCUCGCGGGGAGGGAUGUAUUUAUUAGAUAAAAAACCAAUGCGGGGCAACCCGGUUUUGUGGUGAAUCAUAGUAACUUUUCGGAUCGCAUAGCUUCACGCUGGCGAUAGUUCAUUCAAAUUUCUGCCCUAUCAGCUUUCGACGGUAGUGUAGUGGACUACCGUGGCGUUAACGGGUGACGGAGAAUUAGGGUUCGAUUCCGGAGAGGGAGCCUGAGAAACGGCUACCACAUCCAAGGAAGGCAGCAGG